rnacentral:tRNA from 3 species
GGAAGCGUGGCAGAGUGGACGAAUGCGGCAGUUUCGAAAACUGCUGUCGCUUCACGGCGACCGGAGGUUCGAAUCCUCCCGCUUCCG